rnacentral:rRNA from 1 species
CAGCAGCCGCGGUAAUACGUAGGGUGCGAGCGUUAAUCGGAAUUACUGGGCGUAAAGCGUGCGCAGGCGGUUUUGUAAGACAGACGUGAAAUCCCCGGGCUCAACCUGGGAAUGGCGCUUGUGACUGCAAAGCUAGAGUGCGGCAGAGGGGGAUGGAAUUCCGCGUGUAGCAGUGAAAUGCGUAGAUAUGCGGAGGAACACCGAUGGCGAAGGCAAUCCCCUGGGCCUGCACUGACGCUCAUGCACGAAAGCGUGGGGAGCAAACAGGAUUAGAUACCCCUGUAGUCCCUGUCUCUUAUAA